ACAUUUUAAUUCAUUCAUCACUUUCCUCUCAAGAACCCUAAGGAAGCCACCAUUGGAGAAAAGCUUGACUAGUAGCUUUGACUUCAUUUUUGAUGCCCUUUCACUCACCUUAGAACUUUGAACUUGUAAUACUUUUUGUUCCCCUCAUCAUCCUCUUCAAAACCCUUGAAGGAUCUAGCCUAACUUCUAGUUUUGCUUUGGUAUCUAGAGAUUCAAUUCUCUAAUGAGUUGAAGGUAGCAAGCUGAAAAAUCUGUUUUGCGGACCGAAAAUUUGGGGCGAUUUCAUUUCGGUGGUAAUUGGGAUUUUCAUUCCAAUUGAGGUACAGGACUCAGGAUUUGAAGAUUCCAUUGCUCCUUGGAUGGCUUACAGUUUCUAAGUUUCUAUUUUAUGCAAGUGUUAGCAUAAGAUGCCUCUUUGUAGCCUUAUUUGUUUAAACUUGUAUUCAUUGAUUCGUAUAUGCAAAGUGUACGUAAAUGCACUAUUUUUAAUGUAUUUAACAUGAUUGAGAUGAGGCCGGCGGCCAAUGACAUGUAUCUCGUUUUC